rnacentral:lncRNA from 1 species
GCUGGUCCCAGGCUCAAGUUAGCCUCCCAGGUUCAGAGUUGAUGAGACACUGUCCCCUGUCCUGUUAUGCUCAAAUUCGGGACCCCCAAAAGACCACCAGAGACCCAAGAUCGAUGUAAGCAGCAAAGAGGUGUUCAUUGCGAGCUAGCUCGGUCCUCUGUGCGCACACAUAGCAACUGGUGACCCUGAGAGGCCCCGAGCCCAGGGUUUGCAGCAUUUUUAUACAUUUUUUGGAGAAGGCAGGGACUUCACAUACAUCAUAGCAUCUCUCAGCAAAUCAUCACACACCGCGAGAAAAUCAAAUAACAACUCUAAAACAUGAUUAGCACAUUCACUGGCGGGAACAAGUUGGGUAGGGGUGAUUGGUCAGUACAAAAGGGGUAUUCGUUUGAACUGAUUGGUUUAAGCCAAGAGGGGUGUUCCUGCUGAACUACAUGGUUUUCCAACACGUUAUCAACCACCAUAAACUACUGGGAGGGUCAUCUGGCAUCCCAGGUAUUUCCCUGUCUCAUGCUGAUUGGUGGCUGCUAGGGGGCUGCUAUAGAUCUCCACCUAGCCUGAGUCAGGGACACCUGGCACAGCAGAUCUCUCCUGUUAUUUGUAGAUAAACAACUUAGCAGGGUGGGAAUGUGCCUAGGAGUGCUCUGUGGGUUUUUCCAAGGACAAAGGCCAUGUCCCUUCCUUGGACAGGCUUUGCUCUGAGAUAGAGGCUGGUUUUUCAGUCCCUGAGGGCUCCAUCCAGCAUGGGAGAGACAUGUGUGGGGAAAACACAAACACUUUUGUGUCUCAGGGGACAGUGUUCCUGUUCAGGUCCAGCUCUGUCCAGGUCCGGCUCUGUAGCAGCGCAUGUCCGUGUUCGUUCUUUUGAGUGGACAGACAUUUCCAUGGUGUGGCGGGACUCUAGUUUGCUUAGCUAUUCGCGAGUAGUGAAAAUUCGGGGGUUCUGCUUUUGGGGUGUGGAGAACAGAGCUGAUGUGAACACCCAGGGAGGCUCUCAGCGGCAUUAGUCAGUGUGAAAACCCGACAGCGCUGAAUGUUGCCCGAGGCAGAUAGAAGAGAGAGUGAGGGAAGGCUGUUUGUGUGCAGGUAGAGAAAAUGGCUGCUUGUCACAGCCACUGCCAAUCAAGGAAAUUUUUGAGUCGGGUGGGAGAGUAAUUAAUCCAAAACCCAUCUGUACUUUUCUUGUCGAC